GAAAAGGGGCUGGCAGCCUAUACUGCAGUCGACGCACAGCGAAAGGUGCUUGCACCUUUCAAGUGAGUGGCGAACGGGUGAGUAACACGUGGACAACCUGCCUCAAGGCUGGGGAUAACAUUUGGAAACAGAUGCUAAUACCGAAUAAAACUUAGUGUCGCAUGACACAAAGUUAAAAGGCGCUUCGGCGUCACCUAGAGAUGGAUCCGCGGUGCAUUAGUUAGUUGGUGGGGUAAAGGCCUACCAAGACAAUGAUGCAUAGCCGAGUUGAGAGACUGAUCGGCCACAUUGGGACUGAGACACGGCCCAAACUCCUACGGGAGGCUGCAGUAGGGAAUCUUCCACAAUGGGCGAAAGCCUGAUGGAGCAACGCCGCGUGUGUGAUGAAGGCUUUCGGGUCGUAAAGCACUGUUGUAUGGGAAGAACAGCUAGAAUAGGAAAUGAUUUUAGUUUGACGGUACCAUACCAGAAAGGGACGGCUAAAUACGUGCCAGCAGCCGCGGUAAUACGUAUGUCCCGAGCGUUAUCCGGAUUUAUUGGGCGUAAAGCGAGCGCAGACGGUUUAUUAAGUCUGAUGUGAAAGCCCGGAGCUCAACUCCGGAAUGGCAUUGGAAACUGGUUAACUUGAGUGCAGUAGAGGUAAGUGGAACUCCAUGUGUAGCGGUGGAAUGCGUAGAUAUAUGGAAGAACACCAGUGGCGAAGGCGGCUUACUGGACUGCAACUGACGUUGAGGCUCGAAAGUGUGGGUAGCAAACAGGAUUAGAUACCCUGGUAGUCCACACCGUAAACGAUGAACACUAGGUGUUAGGAGGUUUCCGCCUCUUAGUGCCGAAGCUAACGCAUUAAGUGUUCCGCCUGGGGAGUACGACCGCAAGGUUGAAACUCAAAGGAAUUGACGGGGACCCGCACAAGCGGUGGAGCAUGUGGUUUAAUUCGAAGCAACGCGAAGAACCUUACCAGGUCUUGACAUCCUUUGAAGCUUUUAGAGAUAGAAGUGUUCUCUUCGGAGACAAAGUGACAGGUGGUGCAUGGUCGUCGUCAGCUCGUGUCGUGAGAUGUUGGGUUAAGUCCCGCAACGAGCGCAACCCUUAUUGUUAGUUGCCAGCAUUCAGAUGGGCACUCUAGCGAGACUGCCGGUGACAAACCGGAGGAAGGCGGGGACGACGUCAGAUCAUCAUGCCCCUUAUGACCUGGGCUACCACCGUGCUACAAUGGCGUAUACAACGAGUUGCCAACCCCGCGAGGGUGACC
rnacentral:rRNA from 1 species